rnacentral:tRNA from 1 species
GUCCCCUUCGUCUAGUGGCCUAGGACACUGCCCUUUCACGGCGGCAACACGGGUUCGAACCCCGUAGGGGUCGCCA